rnacentral:rRNA from 1 species
AGAGUUUGAUCCUGGCUCAGGAUGAACGCUGGCGGUGUGCUUUAAGCAUGCAAGUCGAACGGGUUUAGGGAGCAAUCCUUAGACCAGUGGCAGACGGGUGAGUAACACGUAGGAAUCUACCUCUGGGUGGGGAAUAGCUCUCCGAAAGGAGAGGUAAUACCGCAUACGAUCGUAAGAUCAAAGGCCCUAACCGGCCGCCGAGAGAGGAGCCUGCGUCCUAUCAGCUAGUUGGUGAGGUAAUGGCCCACCAAGGCGAUGACGGGUAGGGGGUGUGAGAGCAUGACCCCCCACAAGGUCACUGAGACACGGGACCUACAUCUACGGAUGGCAGCAACUGGGAAUAUUGCGCAAUGGACGAAAGUCUGACGCAGCGACACCGCGUGUGGGAUGAAGUAUUUCGGUAUGUAAACCACUGUGGCGAGGGAUGAAACUUUGACAGUACCUCGCUAGAAAGCAUCUGCUAACUACGUGCCAGAAGCCUCGGCAAUGCGUGGGAUGCAAGCGUUAUCCGGAUUUACUGGGCGUAAAGGGUUUCGCAGGCGGACUAUUAAGUCUGGUCUUAAAGACUGGGGCUCAACCCCAGAUAUGGGUUAGAUACUAAUAGUCUUGAGGAUAUCAGGGGGGACUGGAAUGCUCGGUGGAGGGGUGAAAUCCGUUGAGAUCGAGCAGAACGCCAAUGGCGAAAGCAGGUCCCUGGGGUAUUUCUGACGCUCAUGUACGAAAGCUAGGGUGGCGAACGGGAUUAGAGACCCCGGUAGUCCUAGCCGUAAACUAUGGAUACUAGCUGCUGGGGGUUCCUUUUAGGGGGUGGCGUAAGCUAACGCGUUAAGUAUCCCGCCUGGGUAGUACGGCCGCAAGGUUAAAACUCAAAUGAAUUGACGG